rnacentral:tRNA from 1 species
UGGGGAGUCGCCAAGCGGUAAGGCAGUGGACUUUGACUCCGCUAUUCGUAGGUUCGAAUCCUGCCUCCCCAG